ensembl:lncRNA
GCGCAAUUGGAAAAAGUAAGUAUCCUACAGUCCAACAGUCAAUUACAGACUUAAGAAGUCAAUGUAAUAAGCAAAAUAAUAGCAAAGAAAAAAGUCCCUUUAAAUGACACAUUGCGCAAAUUGCGCAAGAAAAAGGUGAGACUGGAGCCCGAGAGCAUGACGUCAAAGAAAUUAUAGCCAAUCAGGAGUCAGUUUUAGAAACCUCCUUUGAAUCUUUUUACGUGACCAAGGCGUGGGUGGAGGGUGGAGCUCAGGGGCUCUUUGUCGAGAGCACAUUGGAUGAACCCCAGAGAAAAGGGUACGUGGGGUGCAGCAGGGCAGGAACAGGGGAGGAACAGGGGCGGAGCCAUGAGCUGGUGGGCGGAGCCUGGUGGAAAAGUUGCCGUUUCCUCAUCGAAUCGCAAUGCCGUUGCCAACGGUGUUGAUAAACGUGAAAGCAACUUAGUGGAGCUUCUGCGCUGCGGAUCUGCGGUCCCGGGUCCGAAAGAGUCGCGUCUGAGAUACUCCUACUGUCACCGACAGACCAUGGGUGAAGGUUUCCAGCUGAAACUCCUUGACACUGUGCCAUAAAACCAGAGCACCAACACCGACGUCUCCGCAAGGAGGGAUGUUCUUCCGGAAGCCAACAUGAAGACAGAAAAUCCACAGUGGGAUGCGCUGGAAGGAUGACUUUAAAAUAUUCUUUGUAUUUUCUCUCUCUUAUUUAUGUGGCGACUGGCAUUGGAGUCGCACAAGAAGAAGAGAACGAGGAAUUUGAAAUCCGCAAAGACCUCCUUCCAGUCGACCAGCCGGUCAUCACUGUUUCGCAGAAUCAGUCUGGUUCCCUCGUUGUUCAGCUAAAGGGCGACAUGAAGCUUAAAAAAGAAUAUGCCGACCAUCAUAAAUAUAGGAUCUUCUACAAGAAAGACAACGGGGAAUUCAAGCUUUAUGAUGACGUCUUGACCAAAAAUACUCAUGUGGUCAUGAAAAACCUGCAGGCAGGUGUGAAGUAUUGCUUUCAGAUGCGCUACAUUGUUUACCACAAGUCCAUCAAGGACGUCAAUGACAGCACCGUGGAGUGCGCCGUCAUCACAGAGAAACAGGAGAGCAGGAUGAACAGGAUCCUCUGGGUGUUAACGAUCACUGGGGUCCUGGGCGUUCUGCUGGUCGCUUGCUGCAUGUGGGUGGUCCUCAAGAACUAUUCGAAGGUGAAGCGAGCCCUUCGCCCCCCGCUAGACGUGCCGGAUCACAUCCGCGAGUUCCUCAGCGAGGAGGAGUUGCCCAAAGACUGGCUGAAAUCCAACUCCGGCCCUGACUCAGAAAACACCUGCGACAGCAUCUCGGUGAUGACCAGCGACAAUUCCAAUUGCACAUCGGGCAGCUCGUCUCCCAGGACACACUUUUACCUGGGAAGAACCACUACGUGUUAACUGCCUAAAAUGUCCUUCUGCUUCCAUUUGGAGAACAGCCAAGCCCCAGCCAAUGAGCGCCUCUAGUCGCAUCGAGUCCCAUUGGCGUCACUUAUCCCCUCAAUGAGGAACUGUAUGAACAAUGUGCCAGUCAUUGCUCCCAGAUGGGGUAAAAGGUCACAUUUGGACUGCAGUUACGAACUGCUCUAACGUGGGGCCUCCAAUCCUGAUCCUUUACGAAGACCUACUGAAGAGCAGCUGGUUAAGGAAAACUUUAGGGUCUCCGAAGGCUUUGUGACCACCCAUCUAGGGCCUCAGCUACUGGAGACCUUUUUAUACAGCUUCAUAAGCUCACAUUAAGUAUGAAGUUCUGUCACCUCAUGAAAUGGAUCUACUGCAUUCUCACCCAUGAACCCUACCUGAGCACAUUGAAGGAAGGACUUGAAAUGCUGUGGAGCUGGGAAACAAGCACUCCCACAUCGUUUAAGUUUUAUAAACCUCUAUGUUCUUGUGAACAAGAUGAGAAUGGACCUGAAGAGGGUGAAGGAUGUGCUCUUUUUCUUCUCCUGAUCAUUUGCCACAUCAAGCAGGAAGGGUCAGGGUGGGGGGCUGAAGGGUUAAAUUUAAAAUUUUGCUAAUCACUAGUUUAGCCCUGUGAUUGACUGGCAUCUCAUCCAGGAUGUACACAUGUCCCCUCACACCCCAUGACAGACUCUGGAUCACUGUGACUCUGCAUGAGGAAGCAGUUAUUGAUGAUGGAUAUUUCUAGUUUUUUUUUGCUACCACAAGAACCUUUGUAAAAGUCAGUAUUUUCCCACUUUAAACCUGGUAAAUCAUGUCCACUGGAGCAAGAUGUCCAAUUCAACCAGCUCAGUGCACUUUAAGCGUAAUUUUGCUCAAUAAAACAUGAAGGUUCACACUAUUUACCUGAGUU